rnacentral:rRNA from 1 species
CCUGGCGGCCUUAGCGCGGUGGUCCCACCUGACCCCAUGCCGAACUCAGAAGUGAAACGCCGUAGCGCCGAUGGUAGUGUGGGGUCUCCCCAUGCGAGAGUAGGGA